GACGAACGCUGGCGGCGUGCCUAAUACAUGCAAGUAGAACGCUGAAGAGAGGAGCUUGCUCUUCUUGGAUGAGUUGCGAACGGGUGAGUAACGCGUAGGUAACCUGCCUUGUAGCGGGGGAUAACUAUUGGAAACGAUAGCUAAUACCGCAUAACAAUAGGUGACACAUGUCAUUUAUUUGAAAGGGGCAAUUGCUCCACUACAAGAUGGACCUGCGUUGUAUUAGCUAGUAGGUGAGGUAACGGCUCACCUAGGCGACGAUACAUAGCCGACCUGAGAGGGUGAUCGGCCACACUGGGACUGAGACACGGCCCAGACUCCUACGGGAGGCAGCAGUAGGGAAUCUUCGGCAAUGGGGGCAAACCUGACCGAGCAACGCCGCGUGAGUGAAGAAGGUUUUCGGAUCGUAAAGCUCUGUUGUAAGUCAAGAACGAGUGUGAGAGUGGAAAGUUCACACUGUGACGGUAGCUUACCAGAAAGGGACGGCUAAGUACGUG
rnacentral:rRNA from 1 species